GGAGGCGUAGCCUAACUGGUAAGGCACCGCACUCGAAAUGCGGCGGGCGUAAGCCCUUGGGGGUUCGAGUCCCUCCGCCUCCG
rnacentral:tRNA from 1 species